UACGGGGGGGGCAAGCGUUGUUCGGAAUUACUGGGCGUAAAGGGCGCGUAGGCGGCCUGCUAAGUCGGAUGUGAAAUCCCUCGGCUUAACCGAGGAACUGCAUCCGAUACUGGCGGGCUUGAAUCCGGGAGAGGGAUGUGGAAUUCCAGGUGUAGCGGUGAAAUGCGUAGAUAUCUGGAGGAAGACCGGUGGCGAAGGCGGCAUCCUGGACCGGUAUUGACGCUGAGGCGCGAAAGCUAGGGGAGCAAACGGG
rnacentral:rRNA from 1 species